GAAACCCUGGUAAUGCCAUAGUUGCAUUAUAAACAGAAGAUUUAACCAGAGACUUUCAUUCUAUAUGGAGAUAAAAAAGAGUGCAGCAUGCUGUGUGAACAUCCAGGAGCAUCAGGGCAGAGCUUGCAAUCCUUCUAAAUAAGGGUGUGCUGUGUGGUUGGUGCUACAGUAUGGUAUACUUGGUAUGUUCAACCACAGGU